AUAUUUUUCAAUGGAGGCAACUCUGAACCAGCCAUGGCGCGUGCAGGUUGUCGGACCUAUUGUUUGUAAACUGCUUUUGUACAGGAAGAAAACGAGGUACGUGUGGCGCAUAGACGGUACUGACAGCAUAAGGAUCGACUAACUACCACCCAGAAACCGAGGUAAUACGGAGGAUUCAAGCGUUAUCCGGAAUCAUUGGGUUUAAAGGGUCCGUAGGCGGCCUUAUAAGUCAGCGGUGAAAGUUUUUGGCUUAACCAAAAAAUUGCCGUUGAUACUGUAGGGCUUGAAUUUUUGUGAAGUAACUAGAAUAUGUAGUGUAGCGGUGAAAUGCUUAGAUAUUACAUGGAAUACCAAUUGCGAAGGCAGGUUACUAACAAACGAUUGACGCUGAUGGACGAAAGCGUGGGUAGCGAACAG
rnacentral:rRNA from 1 species